CCCCUAGAUGAUCUGGGCCGCACGCGCGCUACAAUGGCGAAUGGAGCGAGUGUUUCCAUUGAAAGAGUGGGAGGAAACAGGAGGAUUCGCCGUGACUGGGAUAGAAUAUUGGAAUUGUUAUUCUUGAACGAGGAAUGCCUAGUAAAUGCAAUUCAUAAAAUUGCAUUGAAUACGUCAAUGCCCUUUGUACACACCGCCCAUCGCUCCUACCGAUUGAAUGAUCCGAUGAAUUUUUUAGAUUUCUCUAAAGGUUUUUAGAGGGAAAAGAAAAAUAAAUCUUGUCAUUUAGAGGAAGGAGAAGAUGCAACA
rnacentral:rRNA from 1 species